AACGAACGCUGGCGGCAUGCCUAACACAUGCAAGUCGAACGAGACCUUCGGGUCUAGUGGCGCACGGGUGCGUAACGCGUGGGAACCUGCCCUUAGGUUCGGAAUAACUCCCCGAAAGGGGUGCUAAUACCGGAUAAUGUCUUCGGACCAAAGAUUUAUCGCCUUUGGAUGGGCCCGCGUUGGUUUAGCUAGUUGGUAGGGUAAAAGCCUACCAAGGCGACGAUCCCUAGCUGGUCUGAGAGGAUGAUCAGACACACUGGGACUGAGACACGGCCCAGACUCCUACGGGAGGCAGCAGGGGGGAAUAUUAGACAAUGGGCGAAAGCCUGAUCCAGCAAUGCCGCGUGAGUGAUGAAGGCCUUAGGGUUGUAAAGCUCUUUUACCCGGGAUGAUAAUGACAGUACCGGGAGAAUAAGCGCCGGCUAACUACGUG
rnacentral:rRNA from 1 species